UACGUAGGUGGCGAGCGUUAUCCGGAAUUACUGGGUGUAAAGGGAGCGCAGGCGGGACAGCAAGUCAGCGGUGAAAAUUACGGGCUUAACCCGUAAACUGCCGUUGAAACUGUUGUUCUUGAGUGGAGUAGAGGCAGGCGGAAUUCCGAGUGUAGCGGUGAAAUGCGUAGAUAUUCGGAGGAACACCGGUGGCGAAGGCGGCCUGCUGGGCUCUAACUGACGCUGAGGCUCGAAAGUGUGGGGAGCAAAC
rnacentral:rRNA from 1 species